CUCUGACCAAGCUCCGUUCCUGUAGUGAUCAUCUCCCUGUGUCUCCUUCUCAGGUGUUUCCCUUUGAUGCCCUGGCAUUACCUAGUAAGGAAUUUAGAUGGUUCGUUACCUUCCUGUAGCUCUGCUGCCUGGGUGAUAUUACAGCAGACACGGAACAGAGCAGAAGAGUCUGCUCCCAGUGCUGUUCAGCCUUCCUGAAGUCAGACAGCAGCCAGUGGUUUUCUUCUGCUUUACCAUCCACUCCCCUGCACCUGCUCAUGAGGAAGGGAGCUCUGCUGCUAGAACGCAUGCGCGUGUCCAUCACGUCUGUCUGGAGGGUUCCUGUGAUGAUUUCACAGAGCAGAAGCUUGCAGAGGGCAGACGUGUUUCCAGGCCCGUCUCCAUGGCAGCAGCAGUAACAGGACUCCCGCCAUGUGGUGUCUCUUUACCUUUUAGCAGUCUGAAAGCUGAGUUGUUGCACUGUGACACAUGUUGCUACUGUCACAACACCUUCAGUCAUGGUCAGACGUUUGUUCAGUGACACAGUGCCUCUCAAAACUAUUUACCACUUUGAAUCUUUUUUUAGAUAUACAAGAAAAAACAACAUUUUGAUUUUUUUGACAAAAUCAUAUUUAAUG